GUGAGGAAUAUUGCGCAAUGGAGGCAACUCUGACGCAGCCAUGCCGCGUGCAGGAAGAAGGCGCUACGCGUUGUAAACUGCUUUUAACCGGGAAGAAACCCCAGGACGUGUCCUGGGUUGACGGUACCGGAGGAAUAAGCACCGGCUAACUUCGUGCCAGCAGCCGCGGUAAUACGAAGGGUGCAAGCGUUAUCCGGAUUCAUUGGGUUUAAAGGGUGCGUAGGCGGAGCGUUAAGUCAGUGGUGAAAUCCUGCAGCUUAACUGUAGACUUGCCAUUGAUACUGGCGCUCUUGAGUGCGCUUGAAGUGGGCGGAAUGUGCCGUGUAGCGGUGAAAUGCUUAGAGAUGGCACAGAACACCAAUUGCGAAGGCAGCUAACUAAGGCGAUACUGACGCUGAGGCACGAAAGCGUGGGGAUCGAACAGGAUUAGAUACCCUUGUAGUCC
rnacentral:rRNA from 1 species